CUCACUUCCUCCCAUGUCAUCACAAGGUGUGAGUCGCAGGGCUUCGUGUUCCUCCUGGCGCUUACCAAAUCCCGAACGUAACCUCCUACUACUUAUUUGUUGCUCUUUUUAGGGCCGCACCUGCAGCAUGUGGAGGGUCCCGGGCUAGGGGUGGAAUCGGAGCUGCAGCUGGGGGCCUGCCCCACAGCCACAGCAGUGCGAUCCCAGUGGGAUCUGUGACCAUGCCGCAGCUCGUGGCGAUGCCGGAUCCUUAACUUGUGAGCCGUGGUAGCAACUCCAUAUCCUCCUUUCUUGUUUUAAACUUUAAAAAUUGCGGUGUGGUUGAUGUUUCCUGCUUGCUUAUUUGUUUGUAUUUUUGUCUUUUCCCUACUGCGCUUUAAGCUCCUUGAGGGCAGGGCUGGUCCUUCCUCCCAGCAUGUCCCGAACUCCUUGUGAGGGCAGGGUGUCCUGCCCAGCUGGGGGACUCCCUGGAGGAGCUGGGCAGUCUCUUCCUGCAGACGCUGGUCCUGACCCCACAGCAGCAGGGCUUGUCCAGCCACCAUUCCUUCCACAUCUCUGCAGGUCCCUCUCCAUCAGCGCUGGGUCAACAGCCCCAGGCUAAGACAAGAACCCCUACUUGGGUCCAGCAACCCUUCCCUGUCCCUGCAGCCGCGUUUUGUCCUGGAGGCCACCAGGUGGCGUCGCAGGCCCACGCGUGAUCGGCGAGGACUGCGGAGGCGCCCCGGCUCCUGUCUCCAGGAGGCGGUGGGGCGGGGGUCGGAGCCUUUCGGGAGGUUCACUUGUCAGCCUGCACGUGGGUGAAAUCUCCUGCCUUUCAGCUCCUCCCAGAAGACCCCUCCCAACCUCCAAAGAGAUAAGCAGGGCCCAGCCCCCAGGCCCCGGCCUUUGCUUCCUUAACCAGUGUGGCCUGAUGCCAAGGUCCCACCAGGCUGCCCCGCUGAGAAGCAGCGUCCACCAGGCUGGGCCCUGCCUCCCUCCAGGUGGCAGCCCUGUGGGGACCCUCUGCGGGGGGCUGGGGGUCUUCGCCCCCUUAACAUCUUGACAUGGACAAGAACAGACUGUUCUUCAGACGAACUGGGGCCCCGGUUCCCAUCUCAUCCUGCUUUCCACCCCACCUUACCCUCAACUGCGUCAUCCAGUGCAGCGGAAACUACACUUUCCAGCGCCAAGAGGCUGUGAUGCUGUGAUAGCCCAAAUUUGAAUAUAAACCCUAUCCUAGGAGAAAUUACGGUACAGGCAUUGAUUCUUCCUACAGUAAUCUAAGCCUCAAAGGAACUGAACUAAAGUUCUCAAGUUCAAAUCCAAAAAAAGUUCAAGUACUAGGAAAGAGAACAGUGGCAAAUGUUGGGAAAGUCAGAGCUUUGUCCUGUUGCUGCUGUUUCUGAUGAUUUAUGGGCGGGGAGGCAGCUGGGAGGUGGGAUGGACUCCCUACACAUGAACCAGCCUGGGUUUGCAGGGUUUGGGCUCACGGUCUGGGAACGCUUCAACAAUGAAAAAACAGUCGGUUUUGCUGUGUGUGUGUUGGGGUGGGAAGGCUUUCCCCUUCUUCCCUUCUAGGGUUUUUGGCUUGUGUAAUAAUUAAAUUGAUAUAAAACAAGGUAGCAGAAGAAAAACAAAUUUUGCGUGUAUCGGAGCCCCCUAAAGACAUGCGACCAUGAGACUGGAAUUGGCACUGCCUUGUGCCAUGGGCCAAAAACCAAACCAAAAGAAAAACACCCAUGAGACCCAAAGGGCAGCCGGUAAUUGUGGCUUUUCUAACUUCCUGAGCUAAGGAGAGGGGUGGGGCCUGGGGGCACAAAAGGAUGUGAAAGAAAGGCUUCUCUGUUUGCAGUAAGUCUACACCGCUUCCCCAUCCAGCCUCCUGGUACGUCACACAGUGGCCACAGGGCAGGUAAAGCACUUUGCCUGAAGCUGCCCGAUGUUGAUGCCUUUAGCUCAAAAUAAGCCUUCUGCCAAAGCCGGCAAAU
ensembl:lncRNA